UUCCCCUCUCUACCUCUAGAUCCAAAUCGAUGUUUUUCUAUAUGCAUUUAGCCUCCACUGAAUCUUUGAGUUCCAGUUUCAUUCGCUUGUACAUAUUACAAUUGGUUUGUGUCAAUGCAACCUUAGUACAGAUACCAUCGUUCCCAGAGAAUCCAAAUUUCAGUUAGUUCAUGUCAGUGUGGCCUUAUCAGCAUGAUUCGACCAUGAAUCCAUGAUAUUAUCUAGUGCAGCCAAUGGGUUACUCGUGGUACCGAUUACUCUUAUGAAAUGGACAGUGCCACGUGCAAAUGAACUGAAACAUUUUAUUUUAUUUUGUGGGUACUUUGAGUCUUGACCAUCCCAGGUCUGAACCCUGCAACACAACACAACACUAGUAUAGUGCAUGCAUCCUAUUAAUGCGGAAGGUUUCAUAUAUAGAUUGAUAAUCCAUGUGACUUUGACUGAAUUGUUGAGUCAGUAUAUACUUGAUCGUCUCCGUCUGGCGCCCACACUCCCUCACACUACGCGUCUUCAUCCACUGGGAUGGACACGCGCUACGCAUUUUACGUAGUAUACAUCUAUGGUGAGACAGUCAGUAACCGUGGCUGAGUCAUCGAUACUCACCUAGCAGCCACUUGUUGGCCACUUGAUUCAGAGUUUCAGACCAUAUAACCACGCUUUAGAAGGCUGUAUUUGGUAAUCACCCAAAAUGCCUCUCGUUUUUAGCUGAUGAAUCGUCCUACAUGCAUAGUUUGCUUGAUGUCCAUGUUUAUCUAGAUUCCAGAAUGUUUGAUUGCAACAUUCUAUUGAAGAUAGAAGUAUAGGACCAGCGUACAUGAUCUGGAACCUUUUGGUUUCGAUCAGUUGCUGCUGCUGAUUUAAUGCCUAUGCUCACACUGCUAUUGAUUAAAUGCUUAUGUUGUUGCUGCAUGCUUAUGCUAUUGAUUCAAUGCUUAGGAAUUGAUUGAAUUGAACCUGUUGUAAUCCUUCCUGUUCUACUUGUAUUUAUUUUUUGGGUUUCUAUUUGAUUUUUUACUCUGUUAUAUACGGUUCAUCUUCAGUUUCUUCUGUACCUUGCUUGGAGCUUAGAAUACACAGCCCAACUAGUCUCAUAUACAACUAAGGCCCUGUUUGGUUCAGCUUUUAUCGAUGGAUUCCGCUGCCGCGCAGCAGAAUCUGAACCAAAGGGCGAACCCAGCAGAAUCCGAUUCCAGAAAUCCGCUGUCAAAAUCUGAACCAAAAGCGGAAGCAGCCCAGGACGUGCUUUCCAAAAUAUGAUUCCGCUGCGGGCCAAAAUCUGAAAAAGUUGUAUAAGCUAUUUUGCCAAAUGACCUACAUCUUUUUCACAUCAGAUUUUCCACAGCUGUUUUUCCACAUCAGAUUUUUCACAGCUGCUUUUAGAAAUCCACAGCCGAACCAAACAGGGCCUAAGACCAAUGAUUCAUGCUGAAUUCUGUAUAUAUAUGUAUGUGUUGGAUUGGAGAACCACUCGAGGAGGGAGGGAGGAAGCACGGAAGGUCACCAUGGUCCUCGCCCAACUCCCACCCAUCUUCCUGCCUGCAGCUGUAGGCCAAAUAAAGGAUGUUGUUCUCGGUGGAGUUGCGCUUGAGGAUGAGCAGAGAGAGAAAUUUAAUCAAAUCCAAUAGCUUCACUCGUGUCUGCCACUGCUCAUUGUCGUGUUGACAGAGCAUUCACCCGAUGGCGGAAUACCAUGCCGCAGCGUGGGCAGUUGACGGUUGUGCUAUAUAGUGACAAACCCGAAAACCAUGACUUCGAUCUGCUGAGGAAGUUUGUGUUUCCUGACGGAUCAAUCCUGUGAGCCAAACUGCCCGGGAGACAAACUACACUACCGUUGUCGCGGAAAUUCCGUGCGAUGGAAGUUUCUAGACCCUGCUGGUACUUCCUAGCCAGAAGCCCCACGAGCUCGACGUCCAGCCCUACAACCACCACCCCACGCACAAGCAGGUGCUCUGCUCUUGCUCACAUCUAGCACCAUCUCCGGCGCGGUGGUGCUUCUUGAGGCGACCGGUGUGACGGCGGCGACCACAAGCUCUCCGGUGAGUCAGCUCCAGCUUCUAGCCCUAGCUCCCUAUUUUCUGCUCCUAUAGCAUGCUCUGUUGGUUUAGAACACUAGCAGCAGUAGCCUAUCAUGUAUACGUACUAAACAGCAGGAGCUCAAUCACCUUGUGUACACUAGCAGCUUGCUUACACACUUGUCACUUUUGCUUGUGGUAGCCAUUACUUAGCUGAAUCAUGUCCGUGUCUACUAAUCAUCAGUUCAUAGUAUUUGGCUUCUGUGUGAUGGUCUGCGACUAUUUUAUGGUGAUGUGGAUAUACUUUCUGAUUUAAAGUUACUAAUAUUUUUUGUUUUGAUUCUUUCUCUGGUGUGAGGAAAGCUGUGAGUAGACGUAAACAAUGCCUACUUGCUUGGCUGCUAUAGUGAUGCAUGCGCCGAUCAAGCAAGCACACAUGCAUAUACGUACAUGUUAGGAUAGUAGCAUAUGUGCCAUAAUUCCCGUGUAAGGAAAUGUAUUCCUGAGAUGAUUUUGUUAUGCUAUCUAAACCUAGGAGAUGUGUUAUGUGAUGUGAUAUGAUGGAUGAUUUGAUUUCGACAUUGAGUUUUCCUGA